rnacentral:lncRNA from 1 species
GUCUUCUUCCAAAGAAGAGCCUUUGGUAUUUGGCAGAGCCUCGCCAAUUUGGGGCGCACCUCCCCUUCCUGGGAUGCUCUCAGAAGGCAAACCAAUUCCCAGAAGAGAGGGAAAAACAGCCACAACAGAGAGAACCUUUGCUGUCCCUGUUUGGAAAGAGAUUGGGAUUUCCUGGAGAGGGCUUGCUUCUACUGCAGGUUUGUUUAAAAGCUCAACAUCUAUUCUGGAAGAGAACAACGCAGACUCCAGGAAGAUGGCGUGUCAUUUUGGAAUGUGUCUUGCUGCUCUUCUCAUCAAAGGUAAAGUCCUCUUCUUCACCUUUUAACCUAGAGUAGCUGUGCAACUUUCUUUGACCAAUCAAAUAUGGUGGAAGUGAUGUUGCGUGACUUCCAGAUAUAAGUCUUAAAGAGAUUUUUCACUUUCUGCUUUCACUCUCUUGGAAUGUUGCCCUGAGAUCACCACACCAUGAAGAAGUCUGGGGCGAAAGGCCAUGUGGAGUGAGAGGCUCAGCUUCCCAGAUGAUCUCACUGAGCACAGCCCCCAGCCACCUGCCAGCUCAAUGCAACCUGGUGAUGGACCCAAGCAAAUACCAGCAGAAGAAUCACCUGGUCAACCCACAGAAUCAUGAGAAAUACUAAUUUGUUGUUGUCUUAAGCCACAGGGUGAAGACUAUAUUUGCUCACAUAAAUUGUGUCCUUAUAACAGAAAAAGCUUCUUAGGGCUGGUGCGGUGGCUUAUUCCUGUAAUCCCAGCACUUUGGGAGGCGGACGCAAGCAGAUCACUUGAGUUCAGGAGUUCUAGACCAG